rnacentral:rRNA from 1 species
AGUGAACGCUGGCGGUAGGCCUAACACAUGCAAGUCGAACGGCAGCACAGUAAGAGCUUGCUCUUACGGGUGGCGAGUGGCGGACGGGUGAGGAAUACAUCGGAAUCUACUUUUUCGUGGGGGAUAACGUAGGGAAACUUACGCUAAUACCGCAUACGACUUACGGGUGAAAGCAGGGGAUCUUCGGACCUUGCGCGAUUGAAUGAGCCGAUGUCGGAUUAGCUAGUUGGCGGGGUAAAGGCCCACCAAGGCGACGAUCCGUAGCUGGUCUGAGAGGAUGAUCAGCCACACUGGAACUGAGACACGGUCCAGACUCCUACGGGAGGCAGCAGUGGGGAAUAUUGGACAAUGGGCGCAAGCCUGAUCCAGCCAUACCGCGUGGGUGAAGAAGGCCUUCGGGUUGUAAAGCCCUUUUGUUGGGAAAGAAAAGCAGCAGGUUAAUACCCCGCUGUUCUGACGGGACCCAAAGAAUAAGCACCGGCGAACUUCGU